UCACUUUGGCAGCACAUAAACUAAAAUUGGAGCGGUACAGAGAGGAUGAGCAUGGUCUCUGCACAAGGAUGACACACAAAUUCGUGAAUUAAAAAAUAAAAAG